CAAAACCAAACAAAGAGAAAACAAAACAACAACAAAAAAAAAGAAAAACAACAAAAAAAUAAAAAUUUUGGAAUAAAUGUGUUCAGCAAAAGAAAUGUUAUUAUAUGUUUAAAUAAAUUACAAUUAAAAUUAAAAUUACAAUUACAAUUAAUUCGAGAUGGACAAACAUUUAAUGUAAUUCAAUUGAGCUAAGUACACGAGAAAAAUUUUACAAAAAUUCAAAUUGUAUAUAUAGAAGCAUAUACAUACAUAGCACAUAGCCUAACACGUAGCCACACACACACAUACCCACACACACACACACACGCACACUUAUUUAGAGCUGAAGGCGCAUCUCAUCCGAUAUUUGUAUUAGUUUCGUAUGCUUGAACUUUGCUCUACUCUCUCCACCCAACCCAACUCGAACCCAACUCGAACCCAACUCGAACCCAACUCGAACCCAACUCGAACCCAACUCGAGCCCAACUCGAACCCAACUCAACUCAACGCUAUCGAACUUUACUCUACUCAACGCAACUGUAGCCUACUCUACUGUACUCUAGUCGUAACCUAGCCCAAGCGGACAAGCGUAAAGCUACUACUAAAGAUACUCGAAUAAACGAAGAAAUCUCCAGGAGAAGAAGCAGACAUAUCGUUGUAAAGCAAAAACAUAAUUAUAAUCGUAAUAACCAAGCUCAGACACGUGAGAAUAACUCGAAGAAUGAAUCGAAUCGAAUAAUUAACACAUGGCAAAACGCAAAAGAAGGAAAAACGCAAAACAACAAAACUGAACUGUCACAACAAAAAGAACAAGCAAGAAACGCUCGACUUCUCCUAAAUUUAAACCAGAAACAAUCCUUUCAAGUUUUCCAUUAAAUUUAAUUGCAAACUAAACGACAAAACACUUAACACGCAUACGAAAAACGAAAAACUAAACGAACACACACAAAAACCAAAAAGAAAGAAUAAAUAAUACCUACUAUAUACCAUAUGCUAAAGCUAUAUUCUAUACACGUACGAGUAAAUCAAAACAUACAAAAUAAAACCAGCCACAAAUAAUGAAAACUAUCUGUCAGACUCUUCUCAAUGCUUCUAGAAACAUACAAAAAAACCACACAAAAUUUCUAUUAAGGACAAAGACUGCAAAUAGAGAUUAAAAAAAGAAAAAAAUAUAUAAUAAUAUAUGUAUAAUGUAUAUGUAUACAUAAAAAAAAUAUUGAUAUAUUUGUUAAAAUUCUUUGUUGAUUGAUUUCCAAUUUUGAUUUGGCCUUGUUUCAAACAUCCAAAAUAUAUGUUUAAGUUUAGCUAGAAGCUCCAAGACCCACAGCCGGACCGAACCCAGGCGAAUCGAACGGAACCGAACCGAACCGAACACAACCGAACAGAAUUGGGAGAACAGCCCCCCAGACCUUAACUGAACCCAAUUAGACCUAGAUAUGUUUGCAGGUACCCAUGAGCCCAUAGACCAAGCAGAAACCCAACGAACAGAGCAUCGGCAAUAGCAUGAAUAAAACACAUGAACGAUAACGAUAAACUGAGAAACAAUAACACAGAAAACAGCAGAGAACCAAAAGAAAAACCAGAACAAUACGAAUCAAAGCAUAUAAAAGAUAACAGCAGAUAACACGAGUAAUCCACAACAUAUAGAAAAAUAACUUAGUAUUACGCCCAAUAAGAUAUGACAAAUACAAAAGCAAAACCAAGAAACAAAAAGCUAAAA